CUCUCGAGCGAGUAGAGAGUAGCGAGUAGGUAUUCGUCCGUUCAGUCUGUUGUAUGUCCCGUGUGUGCGGUUCGGUCGUUCUUCCAUUGCGAUUGCACUUGGAAUUGACUUUGUGCGGCAUUUUUAUUAGAAUCAUUGCAACGCGUGGUUUUCUUGCUAAUUUUGCCAUAAGUUCUUAUUAAAAGGUAGCUAGCAUAUGCUCUUUCUGUCCUUUAUCACCAGUUCUGCGAGUCAAUUUUUAACCAGUUCGGCUUGUAUAUAAAUAAUUUAGGUUCAGACAUAAUCUCUAUUGCUCGUAAGG
ensembl:ncRNA lncRNA:CR44762 long non-coding RNA:CR44762